UACGUAGGGAGCAAGCGUUGUCCGGAAUCAUUGGGCGUAAAGCGCGCGUAGGUGGCUUCGUAAGUCCGUUGUGAAAGCAAAGGCUCAAACCUUUGAAGCCGAUGGAUACUGUGAAGCUAGAGUACGGAAGAGGCGAGUGGAAUUCCUGGUGUAGCGGUGGAAUGCGCAGAUAUCAGGAGGAACACCAAUAGCGAAGGCAGCUCGCUGGGACGUUACUGACACGUGAGGCGCGAAAGCGUGGGGAGCGAACAGG
rnacentral:rRNA from 1 species